rnacentral:pre_miRNA from 1 species
AUUACCUGGGGAUCUUGUUAAAAUGCAAAAUCAGACUCUGCAGAUCUGGGAUAGGGGUCCGAGAUUUUGCAUUUCUAACAAGCCCCCAUAUUAUGUCAA